rnacentral:lncRNA from 1 species
AAGGAUGGAUGGAUAUGGAUUGAUUCAACGGCGGGCAGUGCAGUGCUGAAUCCUUUGGUUUUGCUGCUCCAUUUCCCAACGUGGCGUCUAGUACUAGUACUCAGCUAAUCUAAUGAAUAUAUAGUUACCUUGCCAAUUAAUUGAGGAAUUAAUUGCAACAUAAUAACCCGGCCGGCUCUAUCCUGUUCAUUCUGACUGACGGAUACCACCUUGGUUCUGUAUGUACGUAUGUCCUUGGUACCACCUUGGUUCUGUAUUUCCAGGGACGACGAAAUCGAAAUUGAUGAGAUGGUUGGUUUGGUUGGGGGCGUGUGACUGUAUGCCUUGCUCAUUUACUUGUACUAGUAAUGCCUGUGCUCACGCUAAACAACCGAGCAACGAAAUUUCAAGAAAAGAAAACUUAUAAUAGAGGAAUCGUGGCUUACAUUAAACUUCCGACUUUUUUGAAGUGGUAAUUCCAUUACUCAGUUACUGGUGCCAAAUUGGCAACCACAUCCAUCUAUACAAUUUAGAAUACUGAAAAACAAUAUGACAAUACCCUGAUUUAGAAUCAACUACCAAGGUGUUGUACAUUGGGCUAUAUUACAAACUCCUGAGGUAUGAAGUACAUAAAUAUUUUACAAUUAUGAGCUAAUGUUUCUUGUGUACUGGGAUCACAGCAGUCAAG